rnacentral:rRNA from 1 species
AGAGUUUGAUCCUGGCUCAGGAUGAACGCUGGCGGCGUGCCUAACACAUGCAAGUCGAACGAAGCUUGACGGAUGAUUUCUUCGGAAUGAAACCAGAUAUGACUUAGUGGCGGACGGGUGAGUAACACGUGAGCAACCUGCCUUUCAGAGGGGGAUAACGGCUGGAAACGGUCGCUAAUACCGCAUGAUGUGUUCGGAUGGCAUCAUCUGAACAUCAAAGAUUUAUCGCUGAAAGAUGGGCUCGCGUCUGAUUAGAUAGUUGGUGGGGUAACGGCCUACCAAGUCUGCGAUCAGUAGCCGGACUGAGAGGUUGAACGGCCACAUUGGGACUGAGAUACGGCCCAGACUCCUACGGGAGGCAGCAGUGGGGAAUAUUGCACAAUGGGGGAAACCCUGAUGCAGCAACGCCGCGUGAAGGAUGACGGUUUUCGGAUUGUAAACUUCUUUUCUUAGUGACGAAGACAGUGACGGUAGCUAAGGAAUAAGCAUCGGCUAACUACGUGCCAGCAGCCGCGGUAAUACGUAGGAUGCAAGCGUUAUCCGGAUUUACUGGGUGUAAAGGGAGCGCAGGCGGGACUGCAAGUUGGAUGUGAAAUACCGUGGCUUAACCACGGAACUGCAUCCAAAACUGUAGUUCUUGAGUGAAGUAGAGGCAAGCGGAAUUCCGAGUGUAGCGGUGAAAUGCGUAGAUAUUCGGAGGAACACCAGUGGCGAAGGCGGCUUGCUGGGCUUUAACUGACGCUGAGGCUCGAAAGUGUGGGGAGCAAACAGGAUUAGAUACCCUGGUAGUCCACACUGUAAACGAU